UUGCCUUGUAAUCUUUUGUUCCGCUCUCCUUUUGUACUGAACUCUCUUCUGUAUUGAACUCUUUUUCAAUGAAAUGAAGUGAUUUCUCUUUUCUUUUUAUUCUUGUGUUGUCUGACUUGACUUGUUUGCUUGCUUGCCUUGCUAACUUGCUUAUUUUUGUACAAAAUUGACUAAGUGAUGAAGUCGGCAAUGUCAAGUAGAGUAGUCAGUCGGAGGCGGCAAACCAAAUAGGCUGUAACUGAACAUAUAGACCUAAAAAAAUCUCCAAGUCAUGUAGUCAGUUUUUUAUAGGCGAAGUUAGUUAGAUCUAAGACGUAGUCGUA
rnacentral:lncRNA from 1 species